GGAUUGAGCAAGGAGACCCAAUAGUUGAGGAGGACCCAUUGGUGGCACUAUUACAGUGAGAAACCUAAAUUUUCUCUAAAUUUUCAAAGAGGGUAGUGACUUUGUGAAAAAUCGUGAAUCUGUGGACACGAGAAUUAUUGGAGGACUUUGCUUGCGAGGUACAGGAGCUGAUGGUACUGAGGUAUCGUGUGGCAAGAGGCCAGAUGAGAGAUACUACUUGACAUGAAUGUCAGGGUCUUACGGAGAUUUAGAUUUGUACCUGACAUACUUUAUUUUAGGAGAUGUCUAUGCCAUGUCGAUAGUCUGUAUAUGUUGUUAGUUAUGCAUGC